UACGUAGGGGGCAAGCGUUGUCCGGAAUCAUUGGGCGUAAAGAGCGUGUAGGCGGCCCGGUAAGUCCGCUGUGAAAGUCCAGGGCUCAACCCUGGGAUGCCGGUGGAUACUGUCGGGCUCGAGUCCGGAAGAGGAGUGUGGAAUUCCUGGUGUAGCGGUGAAAUGCGCAGAUAUCAGGAAGAACACCGAUGGCGAAAGCAGCUCUCUGGGACGGUACUGACGCUGAGGCGCGAAAGCGUGGGGAGCGAACAGG
rnacentral:rRNA from 1 species